rnacentral:rRNA from 1 species
AGAGUUUGAUCCUGGCUCAGGAUUAACGCUGGCAGUGCGCCUAAUACAUGCAAGUCGAGCGAGAACUCUGGUUUACUAGAGUGAAAGCGGCGAACGGGUGAGUAACACGUUGGUAACCUGCCUUGAAGUGAGGGAUAAUCCACUGAAAAGUGGCCUAAUACCGCAUAGUAAUGAGGGAUCACAAGAAUUCUCAUUUAAAGCUCCGGCGCUUCAAGAGGGACCUGCGGCAUAUCAGCUUGUUGGUAAGGUAAUGGCUUACCAAGGCUAUGACGUGUAGCUGAUCUGAGAGGAUGAUCAGCCACAGUGGAACUGAGACACGGUCCACACUCCUACGGGAGGCAGCAGUAAGGAAUCUUCCGCAAUGGCCGAAAGGCUGACGGAGCGACACUGCGUGGAGGAUGACGGCUUUCGGGUUGUAAACUCCUUUUCUGGAAGAACAAGGUCUGAGGUUAUUCCAGGAAUAAGCAUCGGCUAACUACGUGCCAGCAGCCGCGGUAAUACGUAGGAUGCAAGCGUUAUCCGGAAUCAUUGGGCGUAAAGCGUCUGUAGGCGGGAAAGAAAGUCAGAUAUUAAAUCUGGGAGCUCAACUCACAGGCUGUAUCUGAAACUUCUUUUCUAGAGGAUUAUAGAGGUAAGUGGAAUUCCCGGUGUAGGGGUGAAAUCCGUUGAUAUCGGGAGGAACACCAAAAGCGAAGGCAACUUACUGGAAUAAUUCUGACGCUGAGAGACGAAAGCAUGGGUAGCAAACAGGAUUAGAUACCCUGGUAGUCCAUGCCGUAAACUUUGGAUACUUGGUGUUGGAAGUAUCGAUCCUUCCAGUGCCGAAGCUAACGCGUUAAGUAUCCCGCCUGGGGAGUACGGUCGCAAGAUUAAAACUCAAAGGAAUAGACGGGGACCCACACAAGCGGUGGAGCAUCUGGUUUAAUUCGACAAUAAGCGGGGAACCUUACCAAGGCUUGACAUCCCGAGAAAGUCCGAGAAAUCGGACCGUGCCUUCGGGAACUCGGUGACAGGCGCUGCACGGUUGUCGUCAGCUCGUGCCUUGAGGUGUUCGGUUAAGUCCGUAAACGAGCGCAACCCUUACCUUGAUUUACAUAUUUAUCAAGGAACUGCCCCGGUUAACGGGGAGGAAGGUGAGGAUGACGUCAAAUCAGCAUGGCCCUUAUGUCUUGGGCGACACAGGUGCUACAAUGGGGUGUACAACGGGUAGCCAACCCGCAAGGGGGAGCUAAUCCUAAAAAACAUCUCUCAGUUCGGAUUGAAGUCUGCAACUCGACUUCAUGAAGUUGGAAUCGCUAGUAAUCGCGGAUCAGCCACGCCGCGGUGAAUACGUCCCUGGGUCUUGUACUCACCGCCCGUCACAUCAUGGAAGUUAGGGGCGCCUUAAGCCUUACGCAAGUAGGACCACGGUGAAACUAAUGACUGGGAUGAAGUCGUAACAAGGUA